UUAAUUUAUUAUUAACAAUUUUUUAUUUUACCCUAACUUUGUGGUAAGUUUGGAAUUGAUCUUUUUUUUUAAUUUUCCAAUCAAAGACGAACGAUUAAGUAAACAAAAGUUGAUUAUAUUUGUGUUUAAACACAAUUUAAUGUUUUUUUGAAAACCGCAAACAAAAUGAAGAAAAAAAAAAUGUGCGAAUAAAAUUAAUUAAAAUUGUGUAACAUAAAAAAAAAAAAAAGAAUUAUAUACAAUCAUAAUGAUUAUUCAUCAGCUCGCAUGCACGCAAGCUUUAGCUUUUUUUCAUAUUACAAACGAAUUUGAAUGAGUUGGAAGUUUAGAGAUCAAUCGAUUAUAAAAUAGUCGACACGUGGAAUUAAUUAAAAAUGACGGACUGAUUCUGAAUUUGUUGGUGUUUUCUGUGAUGAAUGUAAGGAAGACCAAGGACUAAAGCUAACUCUUGUGUUGUCAAUGGUAGCAUCCGUUUCGCUAUGUUCUUUCGACGGUUGUUGCUGGAAUUAUACACACGCAAGUCUAGUGGCAGAUCGGCGCCAGGGAAGUAAUCGCAGAGUAUGGUCAUGAUUUCUACAACGUGCUGCAUCGAUGGACGUUCAGAAGGUUCACGACUCCAACAAGACGUGUAGAGAUCUUCAAUUGGUUUGGGACAGCCUUCUAUGAUAGGAGGACGAUUGCCUUGAAUUGGCAGAUGACGAAAUAUUAUGCCGUAUAAUUUCACACUUUUAAGUUAAGUCUGGUAAAAUCUUUUUUUUUUUUCUGUUCAAUUUCAUGCUAUUCAAUAAAUGCUCAAAACUUUGGAAAAGUAGUUGUGUUUUUUUAGACAAAAGUUCUUUUUGGUAUUUUGGUUUUUAGGUAAUGUUCGAGUAAAAAUUAAUAAAAUUAAUGUUUAAACAAGAAACAAAAAAAAAAAAAUGUUCCAAGGCAUUAUGCUCGUUUUUAAUUACGUGCCCAGAAUUUAGGUUAGGUUAAGUUAAAAGUGAUUUUGUGCU